CCAGGGCACUUUUAUUUUCCCUUUGCAGCCACAUGCUGCAGUGUGCUCAUACAGAAGCCGACGCUCUGCUGAGUUUGCUUCCUGCAUGGACAGGAACAGGAAGUCACUUGGUGCACAUGUGACUGUGAGAGAGGAGAGGAGAGGAGCCUUCAGAUGUGAGGAGCAGCAGCCCAGCAGGUCUAUCAGAAAGCCAUACCAUACGGGGGAGCACAGACUCAGUUCUUACAGAGCCCCACUGGUGUGCAAAUUCUGUGAAACACUCAGCACACACUUAUCUCACCAUCUGCGGCGAGUGUGCCAGAAGAAGGCAGAUCGCAGGCAAAUCCGUCUUUGGGUGGAAGAAGCUCGCACCAACAUGGAGAAACUUCAAGCUGGGUUGCUAUGGACGCGCCUCCCGGCGCCGACGCGUCACUUCCGGUGAGACGACGGUGAUGUCAAUCUGGGGCCCGGGACAGCGCGGCCAGCGACACCGGACAGAGGGGUAUGCACUGUAGGAGGGGGACUCUAGAAAUGAAAAAUGAACAAUGAAUGAAGAUGUGCAUAAUGAACGAAGAUAAGAGGAGGACGAUACGAUAGAAGCUACAUAUACAUUCAUGAUGGUUGAAUAAUAACAAUUGUUUCAACAUUUAAUAUAAAAACCACAUUUUUACCCUUAUGUACUAAUAUUUCUGGUGCCUUCAAUAAAAUAAAGUAUACAUUUGGAUACCCUAUGUGUGGUUCCUGUCUCAAACAUACUGAUUGGGCAUAUUAUUCCACUUAUUAAUUUACAUUUUUAUAUGAUGUAACUUAACUUAUAUAUUCACGUUCAAAUAACCCUAUAUAUUUUUACAUUAUUACUAACAGAUAUUACAUUGGUAAUUGUUGGCAGUCUGGUGGCCACCAGUGGAACAUUUUCAUAAAUCUUACUAACUUCUCUCUAGUAUAGGCUGGUUUUCCCAGAUAGGAUUGAUUUCUCAGAGCCAAAUAAUUGAAUAUGUUGUUCCUAUUUGUUAAACAGUGUAUAUUAAUGAGUGUCCAUUUUAUUGUUAUUAAG